UACGUAGGGGGCAAGCGUUGUCCGGAAUCAUUGGGCGUAAAGCGCGCGUAGGCGGCCCGAUAAGUCCGCUGUAAAAGUCCAGGGCUCAACCCUGGAAAGCCGGUGGAUACUGUCGGGCUAGAGUCCGGAAGAGGCGAGUGGAAUUCCUGGUGUAGCGGUGGAAUGCGCAGAUAUCGGGAGGAACACCGGUGGCGAAGGCGGUUCUCUGGGCCUUACCUGACGCUGAGGAGCGAAAGCGUGGGGAGCGAACAGG
rnacentral:rRNA from 1 species